rnacentral:lncRNA from 1 species
UGAUGUUAUUUUAAUGAUCGUUGAUCUACAAACAGAGGUGAACGAAGCGCUAUACGCCAUUGAACGAAGAUAGGCUCGAUCCUUUUAAACAUCGCUGAAGGCAGUUAAUCAUGGGGUUUGGCCAACUUGUCAUGCAAACCUAAAUUCGAGUUUAAAAUCUAAAGCUACAACAAAUGAUUAGGAUUUUACUCAAUCGAUUCUAAUCAUCACAGACAAUGACGCAGUGUAAAAUGGCCUGGUGUUUCAUGUCUUGCGAAGGUGUGGCAGUUUUUCGAAACGAAGGACCAUUUUGUGAACAUUUUGCUCAUCGCCAAAUACUUGAGCAGACGUUUGAAUUCGUUGUAUUGAAUUUCAUCGUCUUCGUCACUUUAUGCACUUUUACUUAGUGGUCACAGAUAAUUAUUUAUAAGAACUUUAUCACCAUGUGUUACAAAAUAAUCUAAAUCAAGCGUGUGAUCAUUAUUGAUACCAGUUCAAGCGUGUUAAAAUUAGCGGGCCAGCGAUGGACUACUACUGUCGGCGGCAACGAGUGAAUCCGAUCUACCUAAUGGUUAAAUGACGACGUUUCUGGGUAUUUGGACUCGAAAAACGCAGAAAAGUCUAUGAACUAAACGCAGAAUCAACUUCUAGUCUGCGUGUCCAAUAGGCUGCGAUGUUUACAGGUACGAUUCCGUGAAGAACGUCCGCUCGAAGAUCAUACAAAUCAAGGUUGAGAAGGAAUAUGCUUACUAUAUGGUUCUAGCGGCCUUACACAUAAUGCCGAUGUUCUAAUAUCAUGCUGAGCUGAAAAUACUGAGCUAUCAUCUACAAUUUAGCUUAGUACAGGAUGAAACACGCAGUAGACCUCAGUGGCGGAAUGAACCGCUGGAUUUCUACCUAAGAAACUAACACGUCCUAUGACUACUUCCGCUCGAUGUUCUAAAUUAUAUCAAAAAGGUCGGUAACAAGCGUCUAAAGCUAACACAAAGACAGCAUUAUGUUCGUCUGGAGAAAACUUACUAUGCGCAAAUGUUUCAACACAGACGAUGUAUCACACGCGUAUUCUCGUCGCCAUAAUUGGGUAAGAAAUAACGGCCUAAAGCAACAUUACAUGAAGCUACUGACCGCAAAACAUGAGCCGGCGGGUUCGGCUUAUGGUUUUCAUUACCAAUCGUUUUCUUUAUUGACUGUGCUUUGCUCUAUAUUUUCCGUACCGUAUUGUGUGAACGUAACACACGGAAUAUAUACUGUAUUUGGUUUAUAUGAAGCUGCAAUUUUUUUCGCUUUUUGGAAAAACCAAAAGCGUUCUAGUGGUAUAACUAUAUAACAGAGAAAUAAAAAAAUAAGCCGAUCAAAGCUCUGAAGGACUUUUUCCCUAAACACUGGCGUGACGAUCCGAAUUGACACUGUCACGACGUUGCUAAAAUAUUUCCUUCCGAUCCUAGAUAGAUCAGAACCCGAGCUGUAGUUCCGUUUCUAUUAACAAGAGAAACGAAUACUUCUAUGGUCUUGAUUUUGGAUCCAUCAAACGGUGUUAGUUUCUCGCUGGUAGCAAGCUCUUUCAGCGUGCGAUGGCUUGUAUGCCCUCCGGACGCUUCGCCUUACAAAGGCAGUUUAUAAGUUUUUAAAUAAUAACAAAAAACAACCCCGAAUUAGUUGAACAAAGUUAGAUAAAAAAUAACCCGAACACCCUCGUUUACCAGUUUCAAGUUGUUCGUUACACCUAUUACCUGGUCAUUGUGAAGCUGAUAGGAUACGUUUGCAUCGUAGGCUUUUGUGAAGUUUCCAACUAGCUCAUCCGCGUCUGACACAAAAGGUCGUUUCGAAAUUGAUUUCCGCAAUAGUAAAAUACCUAUGUUUUGUGCUUCGAAAACCUAAAUAAAUUGUUUAAGCCAAGCUUAGCAAUUUCAUCGCAACCAUAGUUAGGGUCUUAUAUCACAUGAAAUUAGGCUUUUGUCUAAGUCUCAUGGCAGCAAAGCUCUUUAAUUCAAAGUAUUCAGUUUCGAAAAACCCACUGGUAUCAGCGACAUUUACAGCAUAAAUCGGUACCACUCUGAAAGGUAACGUGGUCAUUGCACGUACCAAAUCUAAAAAUUUCGAUUUCAGCGUAUCUAUCUUCCUCGUUUUGACUGCCACGGGGCAUUAGGUUUCUUAUUAAGCGGGCUCUCUACGCUCACUGCCGGCUAUCCAUUUUCGUAUCAUAGGACAACAGACACUGAUAGGCCUGUGCUAACAUGCUGCUGCUGCUGCUGCUGCUGCUGCUGCCGACAUGUAUGGCUAUGCCAAGUUUGACAACUUAGCCUGUGACAUGUUGGAUGAAUUUUCAUUUAGCUUGAGAAGCCUUUUGCGGCUCGAUGAGCUUAUCUCACUCGAUUCGAUGUACAAACUAACAAAGAAGCCCGUACUCUGGAUAGAUUUUGGAUCAGAUAAGAAAAAAGUAUAUCAAUUAAUGCAUUGUCAUUGCCAAAUAUCUUAGUGACACCAAGUAAUUUUUAGAUCGAUAGAUAAGGAUUGUUAUUUAUUUUCUGCUUCCUGGCUCUAUUAAUUGUUUCCUUCUAAUAUUGUUAACCCCUUACGCGAUUCAAAAAUAUUUUUGUAUUAUUUCGUUUCCAGGCUGUUGUAUGGGUUUACAUUGAGGGUCAAAUGUAUGUUAUCAUGUUCAACCCCGCAUCAGCUGGACUCACGUUUUACGAACCUACGUUCAAUACUCUCCAAUGUUUUUUAGCAUACGGUCUUUAGAUAUUAUCUGCGUAAGAUACGCGAAGUUCAAUUAUAACAUUUUGGAACUGGAGGAUACAUGCCGCCUCGGUCGGCCAUCUUAGAUCUAUGAAGACUACUUGAAGGCAAUUCUGAGGAAGAUGACUGGCAAACAGUUCGUAAAUCGGCCGAUAAGAUCAAUUCCCUUUAUAUGCGUGUAGGUGGCUACUUCGAAUUUAAGGUAUGCAUUCAAAAAUUAGGAGCCUGGUACCCCAUAGAUUUGUUGAAAAGCAAAAGAAAACCCAGCUCCUCUUUUUCUCUCAAUAUUUCGCUCGGUACCGAACAACACAAAGCCAUGACAACAAAUUUUUAAUAUAAAUCAUUGUGGAUAAUGAGAAGAGGUAUCUAUACUACAAUACAAAGCAAACAAAUGAAUAGCUUUAGCAGAUAUGGCUAAGUUUAGAGUUAAACCAGGUUCUAUUCUAACCAUGAUACGCAUUUAAUGGGGCUGGAUACAUUUUAUUCAUUAUGAAAAAAGAGAACAGUUGACAGGGAUCUGCAUGCUGGUCAGUCGCACGAAACGCACAACGUUACCCAAGGGAAAAACAAAACCUCGUAGGUAAAGGGGGAUCAUUCUUCCCCAAUGACAAUGUCAGGCCACACAUGUAACAGGCAAAGUCGCCCCGUAAAAGCUUGAGUAGAAAACUUUAUUGCAUCUAUCAUGUUUUCCAAACAUCGUAUUGACCGACCGCAAACCACAUGUGGUCAUUGGCGAAUGAGAACCGGAACGAUACAUAUGACAAUGAGGAGAGUUUCAAAAAAAUAGCUGGACAAAGUCUUCAACACCUGAACUGAGCAUAGUUUACGAGAACGGAUAUAGAAAUUAUAAAAUAUUAAUGAUAAAUUAGCUAAGAGAUAAUAAGGGCGUAACGGCGGAUACUUGAUCAGUUAAAUUGUUACUAGAAUACUAAUGAUAUGCUGCAUGUUUUUUUCGGAGAAAAACCGUGAUUCCUUACGUUAAAACUCAAUAUUAUAGUUGCUCAUCACUUAGCAAUAG